AAGAAGAAUACAAGAACCACAAACAUCAUCACCACCAACAAAUUACAACAAUCCUUCUUCAUUCUCUUCUUUCUCUUUUUUCUUUUCUUUCUCUUUCUCUUUUUCUUUCUCUUUUUCU
rnacentral:ribozyme from 1 species